AUUAAUUUAUAUAUACAUAUAUGUAUAUGUGUAGUUUUACUCCCUUUUUCCGUGGGAGCAGAUCAAACUCAAUAGGGAAAAUCGAAACGUCUAUCACGUCUGCGUGCAAUAUACGCACCUGCGUGUAAUUUUGUUGACAAUAUUUCGUAGGUUUAUUCAUCAUAUUACAUUUCAAAUCACUGUACUGCACUUAUCUCACAUUGUACUGAAUAUAUUGAGUAAUUUUGGCACAAAUUUCAAAUUAUUUCUACGUUUUCUACAAGAAAAAUCAACAUUUCCGAGCAGAUGAAAAACUAUGUUCAGAAAAUUGUCCGAAGACUCGACAAUACGAACCCCACAAAAAUACGCCACAGCGAGAUGGGCGAUUGGGGCUGUAUUACAUUCAGUGUUUUUGUUGCAAUUGUUGUUUGUGUAUUUAAGAUAUUGCAGGGUGGUGGCGGGUGGCAAACACAGAACAGAGAACGUAUAUACAAACAGUGUGGCCCAGUUUCGACACACUAUUGUCAGAAUGAAAACAGAGUUGUGUUCCGAAAGGCAAAAAUAUUACUAUGUGAAAUUAUUAAAAUACUGUAUUUAGAAUGUAAAUCAUAGUAUAGCUGAGUUGAUUUAAGUAAUAUAAAUGAGAUUUUAAUUUAUAUUUUUCAUACAUAAUAAAAUUAUUGAUUAAUUGUUUUUUUUAACACCCGGUUGUUGACACCCGGUGAUGUUGUCUUCUUCAGCAGCUACUAACAGGGCGUUUUCACCUAUUAUUCUUUUAAUCAACUUCAUUCAUGAAUUUAUCAGGAAUAUCAAGAGCAAGUAACUCUACAAAGAACGAAAAAACUCAGAAGGAAAUAAAUAAACGUAAAUUGGCAUAACUUAGCAAGAAAUAUAUAAAAUGUUGUUUUUAAUAAUCAAUCAAAUAUCAAUACUUGAAAAUCAAUCAAUAGACCUUUUGUUUUCAGAAUUCAAAAUUAUUUAAAUAAACAAAAUCAGAAUAUUUCAUUGUGCUCUGACUUGCCAAUCAAUAAUGACUUACACUACUAUUGCGGAAAGUUACUGGAUUAUAAUUGUCGUUAUGCUAAUUUUUCAUCGAUCUUCAGCAGACCCAUAGCUAACGUGGUGAAGCAGACCCAAAUCAUAUGUCACGAGCCACCGACCGUGUACUGUGAAUGUUUUUUAUGGAAUAUUUCGGAUUUAAUAAGAAUCUGGUGGUUAAAAAAUAUGGUGGCUUAAAAAAUCGUUUGUAUUUGAUUUCGAAAAAGUUUUCCACUGUCGUAAGCCAUUCAUUUGAGUAGCUUCAUCGGUCCCCGAUGAAAACUUUGGAGAAAGAUAAGGACGCACAUUUUUUAUGAGACCGCAAACCAAUCAUAUAAUAUGUACCUAUGUUUGAAAAAAUAAAAACAUUAAAUAUUGAAUCGUAAAAAUUCAAAAAUUAAUAUAUAUGUAAAAUAUAACUGCGAAGAUAGGAAUUCGAUUAAUACUUUCAAUAAUUUCAUGUGUAUGUACUAUACUUCAUUUGUAUAUGCAUAUACAUACAUAUAUAUGUAUGAAUUUUUAUCAAAAUUUUUUAGUUCUCCGAAUUUAAAUAUCGAUGAGAUCAUAUUUCCUGCUCUCCGCUUACCACUAUCGCUAAUUUAAUGGAAUAAUUUUGAUAGUGAGGGAUUUGCCACGUGGUGAUUGCGCCAAAAAACAGCAAACAGUUAAAGUGAAUCAUGGUCCACAAAAAAAACGGCUGAUUGUUUCACCAAUGCACACACAUUUGUUAGUUCACUGGUGAUUGUUAAAAACGAUUUAUAAUACCAUAUAUAGUGUAUGUAAGAAAGAAAUGGCUGAAUUCUUUAGUACUCUCAUCACUGGUGGUCAAAUGAACAAUAAAAUGAUUGUCAAUGUUUAUGGAUGUAAAAAAGAAAUAUAGUCAAACCUGAGUAAGAGAGAACUGGGUAAGCGAGAAAACUCUAUAAGUGAGAAUAAUUCUCGGGUCCUGAAGUUUGACCUCACAAAAACGUCUAUGAGGGAGAAAAAAACCUCCAUAGUGACAGUCGUUUUUCCCAAUCUGACCUCUAUAACUGAGAGCCUCUUUUGUAUUUACCUCUAUAAGCGACAAUUUGUUUAUGUAUGACUCAUUCUUUUUUUUAGGAAUCAGAAACUAUGUUGUUUUCAUGUAUUCAAGAUAAUAAUAUAAUAACUGUAUUAACUUAUUUGUCACUCUCACUGCAGUUCAUAAUUAUCAUUUGCAACGCAAAGAAAGUAAAUGAAGACUGACUACAGAAAUGAUCCUGUGAAGUAUAUAUAGCAACGAACAGUACAGCUCUGACAACAACUUAUAAUGUGUAGAGAAUUCACCGAAGAUGAAAUCAUUCAAAAUUGCGUAGCUUACGUGAAUGAAAGGGACGAUGAUGCUGAUCAGUCACCGAGUUCGGAUAGAGAAAUUGAAAAUAAGCCAUAAAAGCAAGAAGCUUUAAAGAUUUUGGAGACGCUCCACAAAUUUUUUGAAUACUCGGCGGUUGACAUACACAUAGUAUAAAAUUAGAGACACAAAAAACGUUGAUUGAUUUUUUAAAAUAAAAUUUACCUGUUACUUGCUACUUUGUAUUUACGCAUUUUAAUAAUCACUUUGUAAUCACUCUAAUAAAUUAUUCUUUAUCAAGUUUACAACUAAA